AGUAUGACAGAGGGUACCAAGAUCUAAAAGCGUUUUCGAAAAACAAAGAGAAUUUCUGCAAACAGCUCCGGUUUGUUCUCCAGCAAAGGAGGAAGAGUUUACAAAUGGAAUGGAUAAAGCAAGAUGAAAAGCUUCAAUCAAAGCAAAAGUGCUGCGACUGCAGAAGGAUCUAAACAAGGCAGCACAGGAAAAAGAAGGUCUGGAGUGGAUGCUUAAAACAUACACAGAGACCUCCCGAUUUUCAGGUGUAAAGAACCAGAAAGAAACUGCUGUGCUCCUGGAGCAGGUGACUUUAUCAUCAUUCACCAGAAGGAUGAUAAUGGAUGGUGGUAUGGGACCCUAAAGGAGAGAAAAGGUCACUUUCCCACUACAUAUGUGGAAGAGUUCCCUACUUCCAUAGAUGAAACAUCCUCAGAAGCAUAAGAAAAUAAUUAAGAUCACUGAGGUGCCUAAACAUCAUAUUUCUUUAAAUUGUUCAGUUUGUUAAAUAAUCAAGGUCUUUUCCUUGCCAAAGUGAUUCAGAUCAGACAUUAAAUCUACCCAUUGUUGCUUGAGUUUGCCUUGACUCUUUUGUUGAACCAAGUGUACUGACACCUUUCUCUCCACUGAUGUAGAACCGGAGUGUG